rnacentral:rRNA from 1 species
CCUACGGGUGGCAGCAGUGGGGAAUAUUGCACAAUGGAGGGAACUCUGAUGCAGCGACGCCGCGUGAGUGAAGAAGUAAUUCGUUAUGUAAAGCUCUAUCAGCAGGGAAGAAAGUGACGGUACCUGAAAAAUAAGCUCCGGCGAAUUACGUGCCAGCAGCCGCGGUAAUACGUAUAGAGCAAGUGUUAUCCGGAUUUACUGGGUGUAAAGGGAGAGUAGGUGGCGGCGCAAGUCCGAAGUGAAAACCCAGAGCUCAACUAUUGGACUGCUUUAGAAACUGCACAGCUAGAGUGCAGGAGAGGCAAGUGGAAUUCUUAGUGUAGCGGUGAAAUGCGUAGAUAUUAGGAGGAACACCAGUGGCGAAGGCGGCUUACUGGACUGUAACUGACACUGAGGCUCGAAAGCGUGGGGAGCAAACAGGAUUAGAUACCCUUGUAGUC